GUCCACGCCGUAAACGAUGAUCACUCGUGAUUGGCGAUAUACGGUCAGUCACCUAGCGAAAGCGUUAAGUGAUCCACCUGGGGAGUACGAUCGCAAGAUUGAAACUCAAAGGAAUUGACGGGGGCCCCGCACAAGCGGUGGAGCAUGUGGUUUAAUUCGAUGAUACGCGAGGAACCUUACCAGGGCUCGAACGCACGUAGACAGUCGCGGAAACGUGAUCUUCUUCGGACUGCGUGCGAGGUGCUGCAUGGCUGUCGU
rnacentral:rRNA from 1 species